UACGGAGGAUGCGAGCGUUAUCCGGAUUUAUUGGGUUUAAAGGGUGCGUAGGUGGCAUGGCAAGUCAGAAGUGAAAGGCCGGGGCUCAACCCCGACCUGCCGUUGAAACUGGCGUCCUUGAGUGGGCGAGAAGUAUGCGGAAUUCGUGGUGUAGCGGUGAAAUGCUUAGAUAUCACGAAGAACUCCGAUUGCGAAGGCAGCCUACCGGCUCCGGUCUGACGCUGAGGCACGAAAGCGUGGGUAUCGAA
rnacentral:rRNA from 1 species